GGUGGGAAAAGGCAGGCCCCUUGCACAUCCGGGUCCUCUCUCUCAGCUCGGCACGUGCCCACACACAGCCCACCCCCCUGUCCCCACAGCAGACCCGCUUUCUCUGGUGUGUCAGGCUUCCCAGGCACAGGGCCCCUUUCCAUAAGCGGACGAGCCCUGGCCUGAGUGCUGGGGCGAGCCGCACUCUCGCUGCUGGGCCCAGCGUGCCUUCCCCGGGCAGCUCUGGCCUGCGUGCCCGGGGCUUCCUGCAGAGAGUCUCCGGGAAGUGGCGUCCAGCUCCAAGGUUGAUUCUCCCCUGGAGGCACCCUGACCUCUGCGCCCUUCUCACCUGAGUGGGAUACUUCUACCAGUUUACUCACACCUUGGGGGACUGGAGGGCAGAUUCCAGAAAAAGGAGGUUGGGACCCCCAAACCAACAUUGCCUCCUUCACCCCCUGGCCCAGCACAGCUCGACUUGCUUACAGCCACACACAGCAAGAGGGGACUUCACCGGCCCUGCACUCCCAGGCUCUACGAGACGUUGCCCAUUGGACAAAGGGAAGGCCCCACAUCUACACCUCAUGUUUUUAACACCGACUGAGCAUCUUCUACGUGGCGAUCACAGGGCCAGGCAUCAGGAAUCAAGACAGAUCUUCGUCUAGAGACACUUGAGGCUGUCGUGGUGGCGGUGAUGAUCUAAGAGACCACAGGUGGGGCUGUGACCGGGACGGGAAGAGGAGGCCCUCCCCUGAGGGUCUGAAAAUCCUUCUCGUGAAGGGUGUGUCCGUCAAGAAGCAGAUGUGAAGGCAGCAGGGGGAGUUCCAGCCAUACCACCCGCAGUGGCCCACGGGAAAAUGGGGAGGUAAGCUCACCUAUUCAGACCACGAAAGCACGGGCAGAAAGCUUCCCCUUAAUCUGUGGUCCUUAAACUUGAAUGUGAAAUCAGAAUCACCUGGAGACUUAUUAAACAGAUGGCUGGUUAGCUUCCGGUUCAGUGGCCCCGGCUUCGCUGUACUAACAAGUUCCAAUGAUGCCGAUGAAGCCCCUGGCCAGGGACUCGUGUGCUGGGAACCACGGCUCCAGACCGAUCACAUAAGACAAUCUGGACCAUGGAAGUGAUGAGGGCAUGAGACCAAUUCCAUU